rnacentral:rRNA from 1 species
GACGAACGCUGGCGGCGUGCUUAACACAUGCAAGUCGAACGGAAAGGCCCUGCUUUUGUGGGGUGCUCGAGUGGCGAACGGGUGAGUAACACGUGAGUAACCUGCCCUUGACUUUGGGAUAACUUCAGGAAACUGGGGCUAAUACCGGAUAGGAGCUCCUGCUGCAUGGUGGGGGUUGGAAAGUUUCGGCGGUUGGGGAUGGACUCGCGGCUUAUCAGCUUGUUGGUGGGGUAGUGGCUUACCAAGGCUUUGACGGGUAGCCGGCCUGAGGGGGUGACCGGCAACAUUGGGACUGAGAUACGGCCCAGACUCCUACGGGAGGCAGCAGUGGGGAAUAUUGCACAAUGGGCGGAAGCCUGAUGCAGCAACGCCGCGUGCGGGAUGACGGCCUUCGGGUUGUAAACCGCUUUCGCCUGUGACGAAGCGUGAGUGACGGUAAUGGGUAAAGAAGCACCGGCUAACUACGUG